UGGGAUGGACGCUGGCAGCAUCAUCUCCUGGCCAGGGAUCAGCGGCGGUGGUGGUCGCCGGUUGGGAAGCGGAGCGAUGGUGGGCGCUGGCCGGAGAGCAGCAGCGGGUGGGCUGGCCGGAAGCAAGGGAUAUAGGGGUGGCUGCGGCUUCUUCUUCCUCUUGUGUUUCUUCUUUUUUUUUUUUUUUUUUUUUUUUUUGAACGAGAUGGGGCAGCGAGGAGGUCGAGCGGUGGUAGAAGGUUGCUGGC
rnacentral:lncRNA from 1 species